GGACUACACGGGUAUCUAAUCCCGUUCGCUCCCCAUGCUGUCGUGUCUGAGCGUCAGGGGCGAGCCAGGAGGCCGCCUUCGCCUCUGGGGUUCCUCCGGAUCUCUACGCAUUUCACCACUACACCCGGAAUUCCGCCUCCCUCUCUCGCCCUCUAGGUUGUCAGUCUGGCAUAACCCUUCCCGGUUGAGCCGGGAUAUUUCAUACACCACUUGACAACCCGCCUGCACACCCUUUACGCCCAGUAAAUCCGGAUAACGCUUGCCACCUACGUUUUACCGCGGCUGCUGGCAC
rnacentral:rRNA from 1 species